rnacentral:rRNA from 1 species
UACGUAGGUGGCGAGCGUUAUCCGGAUUUAUUGGGUUUAAAGGGUGCGUAGGCGGACUGUCAAGUCAGCGGUAAAAUUGAGAGGCUCAACCUCUUCCCGCCGUUGAAACUGGUGGUCUUGAGUGGAUGAGAAGUACGCGGAAUGCGUGGUGUAGCGGUGAAAUGCAUAGAUAUCACGCAGAACUCCGAUUGCGAAGGUAGCGUACCGGCAUCCAACUGACGCUGAGGCACGAAAGCGUGGGGAUCAAACAGG